rnacentral:lncRNA from 1 species
GGGGCAUAGAAUCAAAUAUACCUUACCUCGAUCGGAGAGUCGUGUGGAGGGUUUCUCUAGAGGUAAAGAUUUGAGUACACUUCACGUGGACCACCGCAUGAGAGUGAGACUCAGCCAACGCCAAGGCAUGGCUAGAAUUUCGGAUGUAAAGACAUUUAACAACCUUGGUGGUCUCGGUCAGAUGCCUAGGCCAAGGCAUCCUCGGGAAUGAUUUUUGGCAGGAGC